GUGCUCACUUCGGCAGCACAUACACUAAAACUGGAAUGAUACAGAGAAGGUGAGCAUGGCUCCUGUGCAAGGAUGACACUCAAACUUAUGAAGCAGAAACAUGUCUC